UACAGAGGGUGCAAGCGUUAAUCGGAAUUACUGGGCGUAAAGCGUGCGUAGACGGUUAUUUAAGUCAGGUGUGAAAGCCCCGGGCUCAACCUGGGAAUUGCAUUUGAGACUGAAUAGCUAGGGUGCGGAAGAAGGAAGCGGAAUUUCCGGUGUAGCGGUGAAAUGCGUAGAUAUCGGAAGGAACACCAGUGGCGAAAGCGGCUUCCUGGUCCAGCACCGACGUUCAGGCACGAAAGCGUGGGGAGCAAACAGG
rnacentral:rRNA from 1 species